UGAAUGUUUCUAAUUGUAUAGCUUUCUUAAGAUUUAAUGAAUUUACUGAAUUUUUGUUUUGUGAAAAUAUAAUUUUAUAUUUAAAAGCAUGCAUUUGAAAAGUGUAAUUCUAAUUAUCAAAAGUAUCAUAUUCUAAGAAUGAAACCUGAGCAUUACAAAAAUUAUUUUAUAUAUUUGGAUGCCGGUUUAUAAUGCAUGUGUAUUUUUAAAAUUAACAGGAUGCCUUUCCCUGUCUGUC
rnacentral:lncRNA from 1 species